rnacentral:tRNA from 1 species
GCCCGGAUAGCUCAGUUGGUAGAGCAGAGGACUGAAAAUCCUCGUGUCGGUGGUUCGAUUCCGCCUCCGGGCA